GGGUGCCAGGGCUCGAGCCAUGGCAGGUUUCCAGGUUGGUCGGGCCGCCAGCC
rnacentral:ncRNA from 1 species